rnacentral:misc_RNA from 1 species
GAUGAAGAACGUAGCGAAAAGCGAUAAGUAAUGUGAAUUUCAGAAUUCAGUGAAUCAUCGAAUCUUUGAACGCACAUUGCGCCCCUUGGUAUUCCGAGGGGCAUGCCUGUUCGAGCGUCAUUAUUACCCCUCAAGCUCAGCUUGGUGUUGGGGCCUGCUGCACUGGCAGCCCUUAAAAUCAGUGGCGGCGCCAUCUGGCUCUAAGCGUAGUAAUUCUUCUCGCUAUGGAGUCCUGGUGGAUGCUUGCCAUCAACCCCCAAUUUUUCUAUGGUUGACCUCGGAUCAGGUAGGGAUACCCGCUGAACUUAAGCAUAUCAAUAAGCGGAGGA